UACGUAGGGGUCGAGCGUUGUCCGGAGUUACUGGGCGUAAAGCGCGUGCAGGUGGCUCAUUACGCCCGGCGUGAAAGCCCCCGGCUCAACCGGGGAGGGUCGUCGGGGACGGGUGAGCUUGAGGGUAGCAGGGGCUGGUAGAAUUCCCGGUGUAGUGGUGAAAUGCGUAGAGAUCGGGAGGAAUACCCGUGGCGAAGGCGGCCAGCUGGGCUACACAUGACACUGAGACGCGAAGGCGUGGGGAGCGAACGGG
rnacentral:rRNA from 1 species